CGAGCGAAUCUUUGGGAGCUUGCUCCCAUUGGUUAGCGGCGGACGGGUGAGUAACACGUGGGCAACCUGCCUGUAAGACUGGGAUAACUUCGGGAAACCGGAGCUAAUACCGGAUAAUUCUUUUCCUCUCAUGAGGAAAUGCUGAAAGUCGGUUUCGGCUGACACUUACAGAUGGGCCCGCGGCGCAUUAGCUAGUUGGUGAGGUAACGGCUCACCAAGGCGACGAUGCGUAGCCGACCUGAGAGGGUGAUCGGCCACACUGGGACUGAGACACGGCCCAGACUCCUACGGGAGGCAGCAGUAGGGAAUCUUCCACAAUGGACGAAAGUCUGAUGGAGCAACGCCGCGUGAGCGAUGAAGGCCUUCGGGUCGUAAAGCUCUGUUGUUAGGGAAGAACAAGUACCGGAGUAACUGCCGGUACCUUGACGGUACCUAACCAGAAAGCCACGGCUAACUACGUGCCAGCAGCCGCGGUAAUACGUAGGUGGCAAGCGUUGUCCGGAAUUAUUGGGCGUAAAGCGCGCGCAGGCGGUCCUUUAAGUCUGAUGUGAAAGCCCACGGCUCAACCGUGGAGGGUCAUUGGAAACUGGGGGACUUGAGUGCAGAAGAGGAAAGCGGAAUUCCACGUGUAGCGGUGAAAUGCGUAGAGAUGUGGAGGAACACCAGUGGCGAAGGCGGCUUUCUGGUCUGUAACUGACGCUGAGGCGCGAAAGCGUGGGGAGCAAACAGGAUUAGAUACCCUGGUAGUCCACGCCGUAAACGAUGAGUGCUAAGUGUUAGGGGGUUUCCGCCCCUUAGUGCUGCAGCUAACGCAUUAAGCACUCCGCCUGGGG
rnacentral:rRNA from 1 species